GGUUGUAUGGUGUAAUGGUUAGCACGUAGGAUUUUGAUUGCUCGCGCUGAGCAGGAAAACUUUCCUGAGACCUGGGUUCGAUUCCCAGUACGACCU
rfam:Schizosaccharomyces japonicus yFS275 unplaced genomic scaffold supercont5.2, whole genome shotgun sequence.